rnacentral:rRNA from 1 species
GUCGAGAAUCUUUCACAAUGGGGGCAACCCUGAUGGAGCGACGCCGCGUGGAGGAUAAGGUCUUCGGAUUGUAAACUCCUGUCAUGCGUGAACAAGGUUGCUUGGUUAAUACCUGGGCAAAUUGAUGGUAACGCAAGAGGAAGAGACGGCUAACUCUGUGCCAGCAGCCGCGGUAAUACAGAGGUCUCAAGCGUUGUUCGGAAUCACUGGGCGUAAAGGGUGCGUAGGUGGCGUGGUAAGCCAGAUGUGAAAGCCCGGGGCUGAACCUCGGAACUGCGUCCGAUACUGCCAUGCUAGAGUACUGGAGAUGUGACUAGAAUUCUCGGUGUAGCAGUGAAAUGCGUAGAUAUCGAGAGGAAUACCAAAGGCGUACGCAGGUCACGGGACAGUUACUGACACUGAGGCACGAAGGCCAGGGGAGCGAACGGGAUUAGAUACCCGGGUAGUCC